UACGAAGGGGGCUAGCGUUGUUCGGAAUCACUGGGCGUAAAGGGCGCGUAGGCGGCCGAUCAAGUCGGGGGUGAAAGCCUGUGGCUCAACCACAGAAUUGCCUUCGAUACUGUAUGGCUUGAGACCGGAAGAGGUUAGUGGAACUGCGAGUGUAGAGGUGAAAUUCGUAGAUAUUCGCAAGAACACCAGUGGCGAAGGCGGCUGACUGGUCCGGUUCUGACGCUGAGGCGCGAAAGCGUGGGGAGCAAACAGG
rnacentral:rRNA from 1 species